UUUUUUUUUAUUUAAUUAUUAUUUUAUCUCCCCCUCUUCUUCAGCUCGUGCGCACCACAACCAAAAAAAAAUAAAUAAAAAAAAGAAGAAGAAGAACCCUCGCCGCCGCUCGCCCUGCACGUUCGUCGACUCCAAUCACCCCUGAUCGCCGCCGUCUGGAUCCGCUCAAAUAUGAGGGCGAACGCGCAGCCCAGCGCCAGUUGUUCGCCUCUUCGCGCCGCCAACCCGUCGUUCGUCUUCCAGCCGUCAGAUCUGUGGUGCAGCAUUAGAUUCGACGUCUAGCUGCCCAGCCACGCAGGCUUCUUCUGGCCACUGCUCGUCGCACUGUCGCUGGAGACCACGCGGUGCCUGACCUCUCUCUUUCGUUCGCCACCAUCUUGUCGGUUUUUGAGUGUUGAGACUGGUUGGGUAAAGGUAGAGAUGCACCAGCGAUUGACAAGUGGAAUUCAUGAUCCAGCCACUGGACCAGUGUUAUGCUUCCGCUCAUGAUGUUUAGAUUUCUUUCCAUGUUUUUUUCAAUUUUCAGUUUUGCUGUUUGAAACUUAAACUUACUAUUAAGAGUUGUUUUCAGACUUAUUAUUAUCA